UGCUCUCUGCCUGUGACACCUGACAGACCUGCGAAAGCUGCCCAGAUCCGAGAGAGGCCGUCCGCGUUGGCGUUCGCGGCUCCAGCCCGAUGACGCACCACGAAGUGGAAGUCCUGGAGCACGAGGAACCAUCGAAUCACCCUGGCAUUGGUGUCCUUAGCGCGGGCCAUCCACUGAAGGGGUACGUGGUCCGUAACGAGGGUGAACUUCCGGCCAAGGAGGUAGUAGCGCAGCUCCAGGACUGCCCACUUGACGGCCAGGGCCUCCUUCUCCACUGCGGCGUAGUUUCUCUCUGCCGGGGUCAGCUUCCUGCUGAUAUAAAUGACCGGAUGCU